rnacentral:rRNA from 1 species
UACGUAGGGUGCGAGCGUUAAUCGGAAUUACUGGGCGUAAAGCGUGCGCAGGCGGUUCGUCGUGUCUCGUGUGAAAGCCCCGGGCUCAACCUGGGAAUGGCAUGGGAAACUGGCGAACUGGAGUGUGGCAGAGGGGGGUGGAAUUCCGCGUGUAGCAGUGAAAUGCGUAGAGAUGCGGAGGAACACCGAUGGCGAAGGCAGCCCCCUGGGUCAAGACUGACGCUCAUGCACGAAAGCGUGGGGAGCAAACAGG